AAGGAUUUAAGUUAAAAUAAACUCCCAGCCUUCAAAGCUGUAAAUAAAGGCCCCCCCCCUUUAAGCCUUA
rnacentral:tRNA from 1 species